rnacentral:rRNA from 1 species
GACGAACGCUGGCGGCGUGCUUAACACAUGCAAGUCGAACGGAAAGGCCUGCUUUCCCUUGUGGAUUGCGGGUACUCGAGUGGCGAACGGGUGAGUAACACGUGAGUGAUCUGCCCCCAACUUGGGUAUAAGCCUGGGAAACUGGGUCUAAUUCCCGAUAGGACUGCAGGGUGGUGCCUGUGGUGGAAAACGAUUUUCUAGUGGUUGGGGAUGAGCUCGCGGCCUAUCAGCUUGUUGGUGGGGGAAUGGCCUACCAAGGCGGCGACGGGUAGCCGGCCUGAGAGGGUGGACUGCACCAUUGGGACUGGGAUACGGCCCAGACUCCUACGGGAGGCAGCAGUGGGGAAUAUUGCACGAUGGGCGGAAGCCUGAUGCAGCGACGCCGCGUGGGAGAUGACGGCCUUCGGGUUGUAAACUCCUUUCGACCGCGAGGAAGCCACCUGGUUGGAAGGGUGGUGACGGUAGUGGUAGAAGAAGCACCGGCUAACUACGUG